AUUGAACGCUAGCGGGAGGCUUUACACAUGCAAGUCGAACGAGUGGCGGACGGGUGAGUAAUAUAUCGGAAAGUGCCCAGUAGCGGGGGAUAACUACUCGAAAGGGUGGCUAAUACCGCAUACCAUCGGAGCGGCCGAGAUCGGAUUAGCUAGUUGGUGGGGUAACGGCUCACCAAGGCAACGAUCCAUAGCUGGUUUGAGAGGAUGACCAGCCACACUGGGACUGAGACACGGCCCAGACUCCUACGGGAGGCAGCAGUGGGGAAUUUUGCACAAUGGGGGAAAGCCUGAUGCAGCCAUCCCGCGUGUAUGAGAAGGCCUUCGGGUUGUAAAGUACUUUUGGCAGGGAAGCGUUAUCUGCAGAAGAAGCACCGGCUAACUACGUGCCAGCAGCCGCGGUAAUUC
rnacentral:rRNA from 1 species